GAUGAACGCUGACGGCAUGCUUAACACAUGCAAGUCGUUCGAGAAGCUGUGCUUGUACCGCCUCUCCAGGUAGGGCGGGUGAGGAAAGCGACAGGUGCUUGCCCUGCAGUUAGGGCUAACAGACGGAAACGAAUGCUAAGACCAGGCAAAGUAAGACGGACAACUGUAUAGCCUGAUGGAAAAUGAUGCUUCAGGAGAGCCUUGCGUACUAUUCGCUUGUUGGUGGGGUAACUGGCCACCAAGGCGAUGAUAGGUAGCCCGCCUGAGAGGCUGGACGGCCACAAGGCGACUGAGAGACAGCCCUAACGCCUACUGGAGGCAGCAGGAGAGAAUAUUGGACCAUGGGGGCAACCCUGAUGAAGGUAUUCGGUGUGUACGAUGAAGUUUUUCGGAAUGAAAAGUUCUUUCAGCAGGUAAGAACAUAAUGACGGUACCUGCAGAAGAAGCGACGGCUAACUACGUG
rnacentral:rRNA from 1 species